UACAACCUGGACCAGCAGUUUCGGGUCAUGAGUGCCGUCGCCGCUCACACGUCGGUGCCGAUCCCGCGGGUGUAC
rnacentral:tRNA from 1 species